CUCCUUCUCCUUCUCCUUCUCCUAGCUUUUCUGCUCCUGCUCCAUCACCACAGGCUGUUGUGAUGAAUAAUCCAAGAGUGUUUGAAGCGACAUCGUUUGGUGCAGAUCCAAGUGGAAAGUUAGACAGCACAGAAGCACUUGAAAAAGCAAUAGCAGCAGCAUUUCAAGGUCCAAAAGAAUUGUUCUUGAUGAAUGGAAUCACUAAUCUUGGAGGUGCUCAUAUUCAUCUUCAGGGUGGAAUUUACAAGAUUUCUCAACCUCUGAGAUUGCCUACUGUUGGAGCAGGGAACCUUAUGAUUGGUGGAGGUACAUUACUAGCCUCAGAUGAUUUUCCAACAGAUGGGUAUCUCAUUAAUUUAUCAUCAUCCUCUUCCUCCUCGUCCUAUAACUAUGAGUUCAUAACUCUCAAAGACCUGAUGCUAGAUUGCAAUUACAGGGGUGGAGGCAUUUCAGUUAUAAACUCACUUAGGACUAGCAUAGACAACUGCUACAUUACCCAUUUCAACACUAACGGAAUUUUAGUCCAACAAGGCCAUGAAACCUACAUCAGAAACUCAUUUCUUGGCCAGCACAUUACUGCCGGGUCCGAUCCAGGCGAAAGGAAGUUUUCAGGCAUAGCAAUAAACCUCAUGGGUAACGACAAUGCCGUUACUGAUGUCGUUAUCUUUUCAGCUGCCAUAGGAAUAAUGGUUUCUGGUCAGGCCAAUACACUUUCGGGAGUACAUUGUUAUAAUAAGGCCACAAGUUUUGGUGGAACAGGAAUUUACCUGAAGCUGCCAAAUCUAACUCAGACCAGGAUUUUGAAUUGUUAUUUGGACUACACUAGAAUUAUUGCUGAAGACCCUAAUCAACUUACCAUUACUAACAGCUUUUUCCUAGGGGAUGCAUAUAUUGUCCUGAAAUCGGUUAAAGGGAUUGCAAAGAGAAUCACCAUUGUUGAUAAUAUGUUUUCUGGGUCUAAUAAAGGGAUCGACAUUGUUCAAUUAGAGCAAUCAAGUGUUCCUUUCAAGGAAAUUGAUCAAGUUGUGGUGGAUAGGAAUAAUGUUCAAGGGAUGAACAUAAGGGCAACGAAUGCUAGGAAGUCUGUUCAAGGGAAUGGAACCUCAUGGAGUGUUGAUUUUAGUCCAAUUCUAUUAUUUCCUGACCUUAUCAAUCAUGUUCAAUACUCGUUGAGAGUAAAUGGCAACUCAUUUCCUAAUUUUGCUCUGCGCAAUGUUUCCGAAAAUAAGGUUGUAAUCGAAUCGAAUAUUGCAGUAACUGCUAGGGUUUUUGUCAUGGUGAAUCAAGCACAGCUGUAACAAUUUGAUGAUGUGCAUUUUUUUUUUUAAAUCUCUGUAGUUUGGAAGCUUUGAUUUUAUGAAGGUGAAUGUCAUUUGAAGCAGGAGCCUCAUUAUA
rnacentral:misc_RNA from 1 species